UAAAAAGGCUUCUCCCUCUUCCUCUUGGGAUCUUCUUGCUGGGAUACUGAAGCUGCUAUGGGAGAAAUCUGAUUAUAGGGACAGCCAUGCUUAAAAGGCCACUGCUGGGCACCCAGUCAGGCUUCAUCUGUCCCCACCAGGGCAGCCCCAAACCUAUCCUGGGUAGUUAGAAACUACCGAGUGACCUCAGUGGACACCUCACAGAACAGAAGGGUCACUUGCUGAGCCUCCCUGGAUUCCUGACCCAGGAGUAGGGAGACAUCAUGAAAUGGCUGUGUUUAAGCCGCUGAGUUUGCCGGCAGCUUGUCAGGCCGUGGCAGGUGACUGGAACACGUGGGUCACUCCUCCCAUAGACUCCCACCAGCCCAGCAGUGCCCUGCACAGCGGAAAGUGCAGCUCAGACUUCACACGGGACACAGUACAAGUGCAUUGCACCUCAGGUCUCUGAACUUGAUGGCCCUUGAAUCCAACAGGCUGAUGGUGGAAGGCCCUUGUCCUCACCUUGUUUGCAGCUUCUUCUAGAAUAGCACAGAAAUGGAGGAAGGAAACUGGAGUAAGCCCCCCCUCCCCAGCCAUGUGCUGGGGCUCAGAACCUGCCACAGGCAGGACACAGGCCACGCUCCAUGAUGGCUCUGGGUCGUCAGAGCCCCGCCUGGCCAAGCUCGGCCCCCAGGGAUGUCAGAUACAGGGCAAAAGGAGGGUCUAACAAACCUGCCAGCGGCUCCUCUGCUCUGGAUGAGGAAACCAAGGAACACAGGGGAUCGGGUGUCCCUUGGAAACCCCAGUCUGGCCAUGGAGAACCCAGAGGGUGGACCCAAAGCCUUGGCUGCCCGCACCAGGUCACCAGGGCCAUCUCGGGGUCCCUCGAUGCUCCUCCCAGCCCAGGGCUGGUCACGCACACCCUGCCCGCCUACCAGGCCAGACAGGUGUGUGUGGCUGCCCUGCCCACUCGAGGCCCGUGGGCCCCACCGGCCCAUAAAUCAGCGCGCUAAUCUUUCACCAUCCGCUGGCCUCUUGCGGGGCGUGAUGGAUGGGCUCCCGGCCUGGCCGACUGCUGCGAAAUCACUCAGCAAGCAGACAAGCCCCUAAAUCUGACGCACAGAGUGUUGAAAGGAGAGAUGUCUGUUUUCAUAACCUACCUCAGUUACAAUAAAUAUUUAAAAUGCGCAUUAA